rnacentral:rRNA from 1 species
AUUGAACGCUGGCGGCAGGCUUAACACAUGCAAGUCGAGCGGGGUGAUGGUGCUUGCACUAUCACUUAGCGGCGGACGGGUGAGUAAUGCUUAGGAAUCUGCCUAUUAGUGGGGGACAACAUCUCGAAAGGGAUGCUAAUACCGCAUACGUCCUACGGGAGAAAGCAGGGGAUCACUUGUGACCUUGCGCUAAUAGAUGAGCCUAAGUCGGAUUAGCUAGUUGGUGGGGUAAAGGCCUACCAAGGCGACGAUCUGUAGCGGGUCUGAGAGGAUGAUCCGCCACACUGGGACUGAGACACGGCCCAGAAUCCUACGAGAGGCAGCAGUGGGGAAUAUUGGACAAUGGGGGGAACCCUGAUCCAGCCAUGCCACGUGUGUGAAGAAGGCCUUAUGGUUGUAAAGCACUUUAAGCGAGGAGGAGGCUCUUUUGGUUAAUACCCAAGAUGAGUGGACGUUACUCGCAGAAUAAGCACCGGCUAACUCUGUGCCAGCCGCCGCAGUAA